GACGAACGCUGGCGGCGUGCCUAAUACAUGCCAGUCGAACGCUUCUUUCCUCCCGAGUGCUUGCACUCAAUUGGAAAGAGGAGUGGCGGACGGGUGAGUAACACGUGGGUAACCUAACCAUCAGAGGGGGAUAACACUUGGAAACAGGUGCUAAUACAGCAUAACAGUUUAUGCCGCAUGGCAUAAGAGUGAAAGGCGCUUUCGGGUGUCGCUGAUGGCUGGACCCGCGGUGCAUUAGCUAGUUGGUGAGGUAACGGCUCACCAAGGCCACGAUGCAUAGCCGAUCUGAGAGGGUGAUCGGCCACACUGGGACUGAGGCACGGCCCAGACUCCUACGGGAGACAGCAGUAGGGAAUCUUCGGGAAUGGACGAAAGUCUGACCGAGCAACGCCGCGUGAGUGAAGAAGGUUUUCGGAUCGUAAAACUCUGUUGUUAGAGAAGAACAAGGACGUUAGUAACUGAACGUCACCUGACGGUAUCUAACCAGUAAGCCACGGCUAACUACGUG
rnacentral:rRNA from 1 species